rnacentral:rRNA from 1 species
AGUCGAACGAUGAAGAAAAGAAUUGAAGCUUCGGCAGAAAUUCAUUUCGGAUUAGUGGCAGACGGGUGAGUAACGCGUGAGCAACCUACCUCUUACAAAGGGAUAGCCUCGGGAAACCGGGAUUAAUACCAUAUAACAUUGCGACGAAGCAUUUCGAUGCAAUCAAAGCUACGGCGGUAAGAGAUGGGCUCGCGUCCCAUUAACCAGAUGGUGAGGUAACGGCUCACCAUAGUAACGAUGGGUAACCGGCCUGAGAGGGUGAACGGUCACACUGGAACUGAGACACGGUCCAGACUCCUACGGGAGGCAGCAGUGGGGAAUAUUGCACAAUGGAGGGAACUCUGAUGCAGCGACGCCGCGUGAGUGAUGAAGGAAUUCGUUUCGUAAAACUCUGUUCUAUGGGAAGAAAAGGACUGUACCAUAGGAGAAAGCUCCGGCUAAAUACGUGCCAGCAGCCGCGGUAAUACGUAUGGAGCGAGCGUUGUCUGGAAUUAUUGGGCGUAAAGGGUGCGCAGGCGGCUUUACAAGUUGGAUGUGAAAUAUUGUGGCUCAACCACAAACGUGCAUCCAAAACUGCAAAGCUUGAGUUAAGGAGAGGUAAGUGGAAUUCCUGGUGUAGCGGUGGAAUGCGUAGAUAUCAGGAGGAAUACCGGUGGCGAAGGCGACUUACUGGACUUAAACUGACGCUCAGGCACGAAAGCGUGGG